UGUAAUUUACAACAUUUUAAUAGGUGCUAGGCUGGGAUUUCAGGGGGUGAAAAGUCAUUCAUGACUUUUCAUAAGAAGUUUACUAUUUAGGUAAGCAAAACAACACUUAGUUCAGCUUGAUACUCAAGCAUCGGGUUAAAAAGCAUCAGACUUCUGUUACCAGACAACUUAUAAGUGCCAACUAUUGGUAGAACUGUGGACAUGAAGAUAGUGGAAACAGCUUCUCUAGGAUGCUAUACUCAUCUCCACCAAAUGCACUUUGAACAAAAACAACUUGUAGAAAUAGGUCUUAAUUUUUUUUGUUUGUUUGGUUUUUUUACAACAUGCUGUACUGCUCUCCAUUGGUAAGUGCCAGGGAAAAUCACUUAGCCACUAGAGGGAGGUAUAACACAAAAUUAAGCAGGAAAUAAUCCCCAUUAUAGAUACAUACAACAAAGUAGAGACCAGCUAACUACCUUGAUCCUCUCUAUCAGCUCUAAAGUUAGAUGGUUUGGGUAAGUUUUCUUGCAACUUUACCUUUGUCUUCCCAUCUUUUGUGUAAAAUUCUUCCCCUUUUCAGCUUUUGCAUCCAUUUAGGUUUUCAGAGUUUACCUUACAGGCACUCAUUUGUAACAAAUCUAGGUUCUGGGACUAAGAAAAUACUGAAGACAUAAGUCUGCUUGUUUUUCUGCCUACCUUGUACAUCAGGUAUGGAAUAAUAAGGCCAUGAAUGUGAGAAUUGGGAACAGGAGUUAGGUGUGCUGGGGAAAACUUGACAUAACAAUUUGGUUAUGAACUAGAAGAAAUGAAUAUGCUUUUAGAGACCUGCAGUUUGCUUUUAUGGAGUGACAGUUUCAGGUGUGAUGAUCUUCUCAGUAUUACUAAGAGGUUCUUAAAGUUUGUCUUAAAAUCCUACUUAUGUGUCAGCUUAGCUGUUUUCUAUUUUCUAGGCCUCACUUAAGUAGCAAGUUGUCUUGUGAUCAAAAAGUCAGUACACACAGUAGUUAAUGCCAUAUUAACAGCUGAAAAUUACUGAGAAUUUAACACUUUUAGUAUCUGUCAUUCCCAUCACCGCUUUCUCCCCAAGUUUCUUUUAUAAAAAAUGGAAAGGACACAAACUUGUCUCCUGUUUACAGUAUAAAUUGUCAUUGAGAAUACUAAACCUUUUAGGCCGAUAUGAUGGGAUUUAGUCAUCCAGAAGACAGGUGUGGGACAACUGGCCUUAAAAUGUUAAUUUUAGAAAAUCGGUCUGUUUCAAAGAAUAAAGCACUAAAAGUGGACAAAGUGGACUUCUUGUGGGGGGAAAAGUAAUCAAGUUUACACAGUAGGGAUUUCCCUGCCUGCUAAGGUAACACUAAGUAGCAAGGAAGGCUACAGAAGGUAGUUACUGUUAACUAGUAGUCUUGCUGCAAAUUGGAUUGACAGCUGAAUGGGCACUAACUAGAUUGAAGCCUGUCUUUAAUCCUGUAAAUGUUAGCUCUGGUGUCCCUUUGAUAAUUUUUAAAUAACUUUUGAAGAUGCACUCUGAAGCCACAAAUUAGGCAAAUGAAAAUUCAGAAUUCUCCUUGUAGAAAGAAAAGUGCUAAACCUGGAGAUUGUAAAGUGCUAAGAAAAACCAUGGUAGAAUUGUUCCCUCAGGUGCUGUGUAUUAGAGGAGUCUUUAUAUGUCAUUUUGGGAUAAGCUUUCAACAAUUAUUAAGACUUAAUACAUAAGAUUAUAGGAUCAGUCAAGCAAAAGGGAAGGUAUAACCUUUAGAUAGGACUGGGAAGUGCUGGGUGAAUCUCUUCUACCCUUAACGGUGGCAUGCCUAGAAAUUUGAACUAUAAAAUAACACCAAGAGUGACAUUCACCUUUUUUUGGUCUUUGUUUUUGACACAGGGUCUCACUCUUGUCACCCAGGCUGGAGUGUAGUGGCACAAUCUCGGCUCACUGCAACCUCCGCCUCCUGGGUUCAAGCGAUUCUCCUGCCUCCCAAGUAGCUGGUAUUACAGGUGCCCAUCACCACACCUGGCUAAUUUUUGUACUUUUCAUAGAGAAAGGGUUUCACUAUGUUGGCUCAGCUGGUCUCUGAACUUCUGAUCUCAAGUGAUCCGCCCGCCUCGGCCUCCCAAAGUGCUGGGAAUAUACAGGUGUGAGCCAGCGCGCCUGGCUGACAUCCACAACUUAAGGCUAGAAAUGUAAAAUGUUGGUUCGCAGUGUAACAAGCACAUUCCAAAGAAAACUCAAAUGGCUCCUUUGUACUCUAAAAAUAGUAAAUUUGCAGCAAGGUGAUAGUCAAGUUCUGUGUCUUCAGGGUGCCACCGCAUCUAUGAUUUAGAUUAACCUAGAGAUGUGUUUACUUGCCAAAUAGAGUUCUUCCAGAUGCUGUUUGGAUUUGUCUUCCCAUCUCCAGUUGCCAUAUCAGCAUUUUUGUCUGUACCCAAAUUCGUAUUACUUAAGUGUUAAAGCUGGUUUCAGUGACUCCAGAUCCUUAAAACAUGUCACUCCCUUAAUAUGAGUUAACAAUGGGUUAUAUUCUACAUUUCCAAUUUAUCCUGUUCUCAAUCACAUCUUCCCCUACCCUGGUUGAUUUGGUAAAUAUAUGUAUUUUUUAACUCUACAGACCCAGGAACUGAAUAUAUUUAUAUUUCCCAAUGAGCUAAAUGCAGUGCUGACAGUUUUAAUAUUGAUGGGCGAGAUGGGAAGAAUUUAGUACUCCCUAAAAGCAAAGCACUGUAGAAGUCUGUUUCACAAGCUAUUCGUUAACUGGGUGGAUUAUUGGAGAAGGUAUUUUAAUACUAAUAACUCCUCAGAUGUGAAGCCAGAAAAUUUGAAUUAAUCUAAAUGCUAGCCUAAGUCCAAGUAUAAUUGGAUAAGUAAAUGUUGCUCCCAGAAUUGGUCUUGCAAAGUAAGACCAAUUGUAAGACCAAAGUAAGUGGUUAUGAUGUAAGCUGUGCACACUUUCAGUACAGAUCAUCAAGAAUUGAUGACAUUGUCUCCAAAAAGACUAAGUAGUUGCCUCCUAGGUAUCCUUUUUCAGUCAUUCUCUUUUAAGCUUCUUACAGAGGAAGCUUUAAGUUGCCUCAGAAUUUAGUGGUAUUGCCUCAAUGAGAAUUCCUGCAUAUUUCUCUUUGGGAUGGAAUCAUUUUGGUUCUUUUUUUGUUGUUGGUAACUAUUCAUAAAGAGAUUAAUGCAUAACGAUGUAUUGUGAAGAGACUAGAUAGCAUGUAUAUUAUUCCUUGGGUUGGGAGUCUUAAGCAUUAACUUUAGGACCCUGACCCUGGGCUUUAGGUUUAUAGGAUCAGCUAGCUUAAACAAUUCUCUCAAAACCAAGAGACCCAGCAUCCAUACAUUUUAACACCCCACAUCAUAAAUCCCAUAAGCAGCCCCAUUCCUUUUGCCAUUAAAAAUCUCACCCCUUCAUGAUCACACCUAAUGACUGAAGCAUUCUUGAACUAAUUGCAUUGUUUCUUAUUUGCUUUUCUUCAUGUUUUAAAAAGUGUGCUAUAUGUGCAGGCGGACAUGUUGCCCUUAAGCUGUUCUCUAGUUUAAUGUGUAUGCUUUGUUUUCCUCAGCUACAUAGUAAACUGAGAGCAAAGGCUGGUUUUUUUGUUUUGUUUUGUUGUCUUUUUUUUUUUUUUUUUUUUUUUUAAGACAGCGUCUUGCACUGUCACCUGGGCUGGAGUGCAGUGGCGCAGUCUCUGCUCACUGCAACCUCCACCUCCUGGGUUCAAGCGAUUCUCCUGCCUCAGCCUCCCAAGUAGCUGGGAUUACAGGCACCUGCCACCACACCUAGCUAAUUUUUUGUAUUUUUAGUAGAGACAGGGUUUCACUAUGUUGGCCAGGCUGGUCUCAAACUCCUGACCUCGUGAUCUGCCCGCUUCGGCCUCCCAAAGUGCUGGGAUUACAGGCAUAAGCCACCGCGCCCGGCCCCCCAAAGUCUUAUGUUUUAAACUUUUUGACAUUUCUUCUAAGAUGUCCAGAAUGCUAGUACCUGCACCUUAAUAAAUGUUUGUGAAUAAAUACAUUAUUGAAAUCUUAGGCAGGUGUGCCACAUAGCUUAAAUCUGAGACACUGUGUUCUUCAGUCAGAUCAUGCAUAUUCUUAGAAUAGUAACCUCAAAGGUUUAUACCCUUGCUACCUUUUUUAUGUUUUUUGUAGAGACAGGAUCUUGCUCUGUUUCUCAGACUUUUUGAACUCCUGGGCUUAAGCAGGCCUCCCACCUUGGCUUCCUAAAGUGCUGGGAUUACAGAUAUGAGCCACUGCGCCCAGUCGACACUGUGGCUCAUUUUAAUUCUCACGUAGUAUUUAGUUUCAUUUUGCAGUUUGAAGAAAUAGGCCCAGAGAUGUUAAAGGGGCAGGCCCAGAACUUGAAUCCAGAUCUUGUGGUGAGAAAUUCUUGUUUUACUAUCACGUUGCUUUUUAAAGCCAGCCUGCUUUUUCCAGUUGGGAGGCCUCGGGGAGAAAAGUCUGACCCAAGUGAGAAACACCUGUAAUAUCUACCAGAUGCCAGCAGGGUGUCCCAUGGUGCUGUCUUUGAUCCAUGUUCUUACCCUGUGUGCUGAGGGUUCUAGAGUAGGACUACAUCUAGUCACAGUGGCCAUGUUCCAGAGCCUGGCAGCAAGAAAGAGGGAUGCCUAGCUCCUUGGCUUUCCAGUGUGCAGUGCACAGCCAGCUCUCUCAGAGAAGCCCUGGCCCUCUUUUGACCCCUACUAUUGAGGCUGGCCCCACAGGAGGACAGCUGGUCACACAGUGGCUGGGGCCUGGCUAGCCACUCAAUGACUACACAGCAGCCCCACAAAAAAAUCAUAGAAAAGAACCUGUGAAAGGGUAAAUGUUUAAAACAUCUGCAUUUGUGUUGAUAGCUGAGUAUACACUUAAAUUUUUAUUAGUAACAGAUCCACAAAAAUGACCCACUCUAGGAAUUUUAAGUUUUAAAAGCCAAUGUGUGGUAACUUCCAGUUUCCAAUAAAAAUGUUUGCAUUACACUUAGCCUACAUAUACUAUCUCUUAGGUAUCAGUUUUUGUAUUCAGCAACCCUAGUUGGUAAUCUACAGUGUCAAAACUAUCACUUAUGUGAAAACAAAUGAGCAAAUAGCCCUUUAAAAAUUUCCUUUCCCAGUGCUCGUUACGCACUUUAUACAAAUGUCUGUAACUGUUUUAUAAUUAUUUCUUUGCAAGGCUUGGUUUCUUCAGUAGAGAAGAUUCUUAGAAGUAUCCCCAGUGACAGUACAGCUCCUGGCAUUUAGUAGGUGCUCAGUAAUUAUUUUACUGAAAUACUCAUACUUCCAUAAUAGUUCUGGGACAAUUCUAAACACAAGCCAUUUUUCUAAGGAGAGUCCACAUUAGAGAGGUCUUUGUUUUGUAUUCAAGAUGAUUAAAAUUAAUUAUGAACUGGGAAGUUAGUCCCUGGGGUGUCCUGGCUGGCCUUUGGAAAUCUUCACUACAUCUUUCUGGGUUGGAAUUCUCACCACAGCCUGAACGUGGGGCUGUAUCUGAGCUGUCUCUGAGUGCUGUCCAUUUGAUAUAUCGAGUACUGGGUGUUUACCAGGGCUCUUCAAGCCACUGGGAGAAACAGCUAAAGAGUAACCUACUGAUUUGAGAUGUGGAUUUGUGCCGCAUCCCUUUCUCCUUGUUUCCCACAGGAGUUUUAUCUCAAACUCCUAAGCCAUUUUUAAGGAGAUCACUGGAACAAACUCCAAACCUACCCUCUAAUAGUCAAGUUUACCUGAAUUUUCUCAGUUCUCUCGCGAGAAGACUAAUCACACAUUGUAGUACCAACUUGGACUCUUCAUGUGCUUUUCUUAACUGAUUAGAGUAACACCUCAGCUAAAGUGUAUAGAACAUACAUGGGGCUUCAUCAGGCUUCAGAAUCAGUUUCACUAGAUGUGCUAUGUAGGAGGCCACGGAAAAAUUACCGUAGUAGUAAAAGUUAUCAGUUCUGAUGUAAACAAUCAUUUUGUCCCAUAUUAUAAAUAAAUUGGCCUGAAAAUAUCCUUUCAUAUGUGAGGAAUAAGUAUAUGAUGCCUUUCUCCUUUAAAGUAUGAACUGCUAAAAGACAGGGAUAACGUGUAUUCUGUAUUCCAGCAGCCACAGUGUGUUUCUGGUCUUUGUACCAGGUGCUCAGGAAGUGUUUUCACUGGCUUGGGUUGACUACUUGCCAUCUGCUCUCUGAGCAUUCAUUUCUGAAUGAAAGGGGAGAAAGUGAAAGGAGAGGUGGGAAGAAAGAGGAAGCUGCAGAAAUAAGAGGAAACAGCUGGAGGAGGGAGGUGAAGUUGAGGAGGUAAGGUCAGUAAAACAAAAAGCUAGCAGAGGGCAGGGUCAGGCCCUUGGGGUAGAGGGCUAAUUAACUUAUGUCAGCUAGUUGAAUAGAGCCUUGUGUGCUUUGUUAGAGACCAAAGGUACUUCAAAGGAAAAAAAUCUAGAUUCUUCCCUGUGUACCUUAAUAAUUGUUCAUCAGGUCAAAAUCUAUCCUGUCCUCUAGGAAUUCUGGUCUUCCCUCAGGCCUAGCAGAGAGCUUUCUGCCACUACUCAGGCAACCAAGGGUGAAGUGCUUCAAGUAGUAUUUGUGGACAGCAGCAGGUAAGCUUGAUGUGUUAUUCACAGCUUAAAGAGUAGAUGCUGAGUACAGCUGUUGUCCAUGUGUAGAGCUUUUAAUAACCAGCUCAGCAGGCCCCUUCACCUGCUUUUAUGCCUGGACCAGAUGACUGAAUGUAGAACUUUAGGCACUUUUUUUUUUUUUGAGACGGAGUCUCGGUUUGUCGCCCAGGCUGGAGUGCAGUGGUGCAAUCUCGGCUCACUGCAAGCUCUGUCUCCCGGGUUCACGCCAUUCUCUUGCCUCAGCCUCCCAAGUAGCUGGGACUACAGACUCCCACCACCAUGCCCGGCUAAUUUUUAUAUUUUUUAGUAGAGACAGGGUUUCACCGUGUUAGCCAGGAUGGUCUCAAUCUCCUGACCUGGUGAUCCACCUGUCUUGGCCUCCCAAAGUGCUGGGAUUACAGGUGUGAGCCACCAGAUCCGGCCCUUUAGGCACUUUCUACUUCUCAAGGUCAAGAAACAUCCUUUAAAAAGUUAAUUCCCUUUUCUGGAGCCUAAGCCAGAUCUUAUCUAGGCCUUGUGUUGCCAUCUGUUAGCAUUGAUUUCUGGAAUGGAGCAGCUUUCUCAAAGUUUGGUCUUGCUAGUCAUGAGGUCAUGUCAGUGUCUUAGGUCACUGCUGCUCACCUUCCUUACCCAGGGAGUAUACUGCAUAGGUUUCUGAACACCUGUUUUCAUUAUUCACUGUUCCUCUCACUGCCAAGAAUGGAGGGACCCUCAGUUGAAGAUCAAAUUGACUCUGAAGAAAAACUGGAGAUGUUUCUCUUGGAGUUUGGAUAGAGUAUUCACUUGAUAACAUGUUUUUCCCCUGCCUUGCUCUUCACAAGAACAUCUGGCCAGGUAUUAACAAUUAGUAAAUUUUUUUGCAUAUGAACAGUAUUUUUCUGGUGAUGUAGAUGGGUGCACAUGACACUAAACAGCAUUGUUUAGUGUUAUCCCUCUUAACUGGUGGGUUGUAUUUGGGGUGGAGGCUAUAGCCAAUGAGAAGACAUUCACCUCUGUACUCGAGAAACUUUGUGUAGGAAUUUAGUUUAUUUUUUAAUUUUUUUUAAUUUUUUAUUUUUUACUACUUUUACUGUUAGCACAAUGCUAUAAUUGAGCUAAUCUUUGUAGUUUGGUGCAGGACCACCAAGUUUGUGUGACCCAUUACCUACUUUUUCCAUGCUCAGCCAUUACCCUGUCCUGGGGCAUCUGAGGGCAGUAAGGAACAGGUGUCCAAAGGAGGAAUGUUGGUGCCUAUGAGUAUGUUUUCCAGUUGUAUUGAAUUUCUUACUUGGUGUAUUUUUGACUUGUCUUAGUUUCUUUCCUUGUGGUCUAUGCUAUUUUACUUGCGAUUUGUUGGAUAUUCUCCCUGUCAUUAAAGAGUUGUAAAAUGGAAGUUAGUUUCUCUAUGCAAAUGCUUUAAUGGAUGAAGCUGAUAGGUUUAGCAUUGAUUUUUGCUGGUGUCUUUCAACAAGCAUGAAGGUGAUAAAUGUGUUUCCAUGGCUUUAGACUCAUUUUUGAAGUCUUGGAUUGUGUGAACAUUCUUAGAAACAAUAAAAUGUUUUAAUUAAAAGCCCUCGACUACCAGUUGAAUUCAGUGUCUACUAGGAAAAUGGGUAGAUUUAUUACAUUGUCCCUUUGCUCUCUAUGACUUUGUUCCAGUUGUCAAGGAACUUAAAUGGGUAUUCAGGAAAAAGAAUUCUUGUUUCCCUUUCCUCACCUUGCCAGUUAAAUAACUCCUGGUGACACUUCAGGUGGUAGAAUUGAAACACAAACCUGACUUCUGACCACAUGGGUCAAAGGCAAAAGGCAAAUGGCUUCAAAGCCCUUAGUGUGCUUAUCCAGUUCAGGCAGUGAGGAGAUAACCUCUGCUUUCCUCCCUGAGGAGUUUGGAGUAUUUAAGGGGGGAUGGGGGGGGUGUCACUUUGAAAAUAUGUUGCUUUUUCUCCUGAUUGUAUUGAGGCUGAUAUGGAAGGGUUAUUUCUUUCUGGCCAAUACUUUUUGGUAUUUCUAAAUAUUGCAAUCUUGAUUUUUACUAUUAAAUUUGUUAAUUGUCAGUUCUGGCUUUUUUGCAUAAAGAGUUGGUCCAUUAACUUGCCAAUUUGAAGCUUCUAACUAGAUAUUCCCUACUGAAAGUUUUGGAUUUGUUUUUAGUUUGUGGAGCAGUCUUAGCUGGGGACAGGUAAUUGACAACGGCAGAGAUACUUUUCCUAGGAUUCUAAGUCUGUAAUCCACAUCCUCAAUGUAUUCACAGGACUUUAAAAUUCUCUCCAAAUGAGGAAGGAAAUAUCCUGUUGCUUUCUAAUGUUUACUAAAAGUUGUGUUUAGAACAACAGAUUUUAAUAGGCAUCUUCCUUUGUUAUGUGUCAUAGCCCUUUGCCCGUUUACCUUAGGGCUCUUUGAAGGAGAAAUGGAUGGGAGAAAACCUGUCACUUGGCGAAAGUAAAAGGGAUAAUUAACUGGCUCAGAGCUUAUGUGCAGAGUUCCAAGCCCCAAAGUUAAUCUAGAACUACUCGAUAACACCAAUAAAAAUAUUUAUUUCACAUCUGUUAUAUAUCUGGAAAAUGUUCUAAGCAUCUUACAUAUAUUUUUCAUUAAAUCCACAGGUGACCAUUGUGAGGUAGAUAUUUUGUUCUAAUUUUCCAGAUGAGGAAGCUGAGACCCUAAAAGGUUAGGUGACAGGUUAUACAACUUGGAGUGUGGGAGGAGGAGAGAGGAACCUGAACAGGGCAAGUUGGGGAUCUGACUUUUGUUUGGGUAGAUGUAGGCACAUUGUAUUUUUGGCUUAGAUGCUUUAUUCAUCAUGGCUGAAGGUAAUACCAUUUACUCACUCACCGAAAAUUGUUUACAAUAAUCUAGAUGAAUUUGCUAUCUUUGGACAUCUGUCUUUUGACUGGACCCCAGUAUAUAGUCUGUGGAAGCUCACUUAAGGAGAGAGCUCCUUUUUGUUUGGUUAGAGAAAUUUUCUGUCCUAAAAGUAGAAAUAGCCCCUUCUAGGUAAGGAUGGAGCAUUUGAUCAUACUGGUUUCAUUAUAUUCCUCUAACAGUUGGAACCGAUUGUUUUUGAGUACUUGUUUCAAACUUCUGAGUAUUUUCCUUCUGGAAAAUAGCUCAGUGUUUAAAAUUUACAUGAACUUAAAAGGUUAAUCUUUUUAAAAAAAAGUUUGAGGAGCAAUCAAUUCUGAUUUUGUCUUAUGGAUAGAAAUAGAAUUAGCCAUUUUCCUCAAGAAAAGUGAUUCUUCUGAAUCUUAGCUCUUCAGUAAUGAGAACUGGACUGUUUCCACUUGACCCUCUAUUUCCUGUUAGUGGGAAACCGCUUCCCAGAGGUGCUGUGUGAAAGAUUGCUGGGGAAAGGGUUUCUAGAUCCCAGCAUAACAAGUUCAAAAGAGUCCAGCGAUAUUGUCAUUUAGAAUAAUGGUCUUCAUUAAGUACUAGUUUUCAUAAUCCUGAAGCUUCAUUUUCACCAAUUUGAAAGGCAGCUAGGGAGGAGAAGACUAUGCAGGGAAGGAGGAAAACUCUGGAGUGCAUCACAGAGACCUUGAGUGAGUUAAGGCAGGGAAGAAGCAGAUUUGCUAUCCACUGAAUGAAAAUAAAAAGAAUUCCAUUGUCCAAGGUCAGAGCAAGAACACAAAGGUUUUAGUUUACUUAGUUAAUUCCUUAGGUUUGGACAUUACAGGAGACAUGGGGGUGACCAUAGCAAUUUAGCUGAUAAAUGUAUCAGAAACUCAUCAUUUUCUGUCCCCUCCUAUCUUAGGCUGACCGGUUCCCUGAUGUGUUACCUGCUUCUGCUACUGAUCCAAACUGCAGAACUUCUCAUUCAUCCCCAAGGCCUCCAGGCAGUAUCCAAUGGGGAAUCAGCUCUAAAAGGAACCAGACCAACGUUUUCCAGCCCCUUCAUUCUGUAGCUUCCCUCUGUGUGAGGAAAGGAUAGAAAUGUUCAGGACAUCAUCAUACAGGCUCCUCAUCUACAAAGUUCCAGUAGCAGUGACGCCUACACGGAAGACUUGGAACUGCAAACAGGCUGGGGUCACCUCAGUGACAUCUGACGCUGUCCAACCAGAAGUUCGAUUUUUGUUCUGGGGGUGAAGGAGGAAACAGACUGUACUAAAGGAC
rnacentral:lncRNA from 1 species